GUGUCAUUUGAAAGGAGAGCAGGUUAGCACUCCCCUUGACAAGGAUGGAACACACAUUGAGGUCAGUGGGCACCAGAUAGAAACUGAUCUCGACAAUUUUUUUA
rfam:Anopheles farauti strain FAR1 unplaced genomic scaffold supercont2.21, whole genome shotgun sequence.